rnacentral:rRNA from 1 species
GAUGAACGCUGGCGGCGUGCCUAAUACAUGCAAGUCGAGCGAACAGAUGAGGAGCUUGCUCCUCUGACGUUAGCGGCGGACGGGUGAGUAACACGUGGAUAACCUACCUAUAAGACUGGGAUAACUUCGGGAAACCGGAGCUAAUACCGGAUAAUAUAUUGAACCGCAUGGUUCAAUAGUGAAAGACGGUUUUGCUGUCACUUAUAGAUGGACCCGCGCCGCAUUAGCUAGUUGGUAAGGUAACGGCUUACCAAGGCGACGAUGCGUAGCCGACCUGAGAGGGUGAUCGGCCACACUGGAACUGAGACACGGUCCAGACUCCUACGGGAGGCAGCAGUAGGGAAUCUUCCGCAAUGGGCGAAAGCCUGACGGAGCAACGCCGCGUGAGUGAUGAAGGUCUUCGGAUCGUAAAACUCUGUUAUUAGGGAAGAACAAAUGUGUAAGUAACUAUGCACGUCUUGACGGUACCUAAUCAGAAAGCCACGGCUAACUACGUG